UGGUCUUUAAUUUGUUCUCCUUCACUUUGAAAAUUGAAACUCAUAAUCUUUCCAUUCGUGAUUCGUCUUUCUGGGAUUAAUCAUCAGUGUCUGUGUCACUCAACUCGUGCUGUAUAUCUGAAUUAGACACAACCCAUAUGUGUUACUAUAAAUUUUUGCAUGUAUGACCCGCACACGUGUGUAUACACACAAAACAUUUUGUACGUAAUUGAUGUGUGUUGUUGUAAGCAUUUAUGUUGAGAUUUACCUUUACUAUGAUGGGUUUAUUGUUUUGGCAAGUUUCCUCGUGUCUAUGGACUAUGCAUGUGAUCAUUUGAUGCAAUUUCCUGUUGCUCGAUGAUUUGUUGGAAACUUGGAGGCAAUUUCUAUUCAAUAUGAAAUGGGAAAUUUUCUUGGCCCUCUCUGGUUUGUAUCGGAAAGCUCAAUUCUUCAAGGCUUUAAUGAAGCUACUAUUUUUUUUUUUGGUAUGGAAAAUAUCACAGUUCGGUUUCACGGGAUUCUCUAGUACUCUGCUUAAUGUUUGUCCAAAUUCUCAGCUGAAUAGAUAUGUUUUAAAGGGCUGCUUUCAUUCUUUGAGAAUAAGGGUGCCAAAUCAUUCGCAGAGUUUUUCUGCUCACAUGGUUCUCGAAUCACAUGGUCCGGAAGGAGGAAAUUUUGUCCCUUGAUGUGUAAUAAUUGGUACAUGCUUAUAGUAAGGCAUAUAAAUUCAAUGCCUCAACUAUUGAGGUACCCCAUUUUCUGAAAAAACUGAACCCAUGAUAUCAUACCUGUAAACAUGACUAGAGAGUGGAUGACACUAGAACAAUCAAAAGUUGAAACAACACCCAUGCAAUAGGAUUACUGUCUACUAGUAUCUGAUGAGAAAUGGGAGAAUUAAGGUACUGAAGGUUGAUAUCCUUCAAAUAUCUACUUUUAUGGUCAAGGACAGUCAUUAUUGAGUGAUAUUUUAGAGAAGGGGUUCACCUGAUGUAUUCAUGGUUUGGUUUUUGUAUCUGUUGUCAAUCAUAGCUUUCUGAUUCUGAUGCAAGUUUCGGAUGAGUUUUGCUUAUAAGAAAUUUCUGGUUCAAGAUGACAUUUUGUUAUAGAUCUCUCUUAAAAUUGUCUUCAGUUCUCUGAUUUGUUAAUCUUUCUGAUUUAUAUAUCUAUAUUUGUUUUAUUACCAAACUCAACUAGAAGAAUGGAGUUCAAUUCAAAUAUAUUGUACAUAAUCUCAAUCUUAGAUCUUGGCUCAGGUGUAAGCCGGUGGAGUAAGGUUGUGUAGGUGACUCAUAGGCUUAAAUCUUACCAAUAGAAAGGGUCAAUAAUUAUAAUGAUGAUGAUGAUGAUAACACAACAUCAGGAAUAUAAUUUUUAGUGUCAUAAGUUCCUUUUUAGAGCUGAAAAAGAUUUAAGCCCCAAAAGAUUUCAUUCAGAUUUUCCUAGAAUGUAAUUUACAUAGAUACAACAGGUAUUUGCUUCCACCAAUGUCAUGACUGAAUUUGAUGUUAAUUUCAGAAACAAAAUGUCAUACUGGCAUUGUCCUGAUUCAACUUAUCUAGCUCAUCUCACACCAAGAAGCAUGUUCCUCUGUGCUUCAUUAUUUGUUUAGACUUGUUGAUGGGGCUGGCAUAGCUGAAGAUGGAUAGGAACAUGCAAGUCCUCUCUGAUGUUAGUUCCAUAUGGAAUGAAUGAAUUUAUGCCUGCUGCAGUCGUGCUGUAAACCUGAGACAUGAGUCUGAUUGUUAUGCUCAAGAAGUGUACUAGUCUCAUAUCUUACCAUUUCAAGGGGGAUGUAAGGAUGGUUUAUAAGUUCUUGAGGGAUGUUUGGAGUUCGGGUGUUAUAAAUCAGAAUACCUUCUUGUACAAUUCCCUGUUUUCUUGAUGAAUAAGGUUUACCUUCUUAUACAGUUCUAGAUUUUCCUGA